GAUGAACGCUAGCGGCAGGCCUAAUACAUGCAAGUCGAACGAUAGAAGAGAGCUUGCUCUCUUUGAAAGUGGCGCACGGGUGCGUAACGCGUAUGCAACCUACCUUAAUCAGGGGGAUAGCCCGAAGAAAUUCGGAUUAACACCGCAUAAAAUCACAGUACAGCAUUGUACAAUGAUCAAAUAUUUAUAGGAUUAAGAUGGGCAUGCGUGACAUUAGCUAGUUGGCGGGGUAACGGCCCACCAAGGCGACGAUGUCUAGGGGAUCUGAGAGGAUGACCCCCCACACUGGUACUGAGACACGGACCAGACUCCUACGGGAGGCAGCAGUAAGGAAUAUUGGUCAAUGGAGGGAACUCUGAACCAGCCAUGCCGCGUGCAGGAAGACAGCCCUCUGGGUCGUAAACUGCUUUUAUUCGGGAAUAAACCUACUUACGUGUAAGUAGCUGAAUGUACCGAAGGAAUAAGGAUCGGCUAACUCCGUGCCAGCAGCCGCAGUAA
rnacentral:rRNA from 1 species